AAGCGUUGAAGCAUAAUAGAGUACCGGCAAGCCCCGUUAUGCUGAGCUUUCGAGAGGGGUUGUGCAAUGAAACCUCAAGCCGGAGUAGGUGGAAACCGAACGAAAAUGCUCAGA
rnacentral:ncRNA from 1 species